ensembl:piRNA 21ur-14657 ncRNA
UGUUUCUUGCUUCUUGUGCCU